AUGCAUGUUAUCCGAGAACUGCAGCGUUAGUUGGUGGUUGUGGAUUCUCCAACAACAUGCUAUAGAGUUGGAGAGACUUUGCCAGCUUUGGUCUUGCAUUUCCAAUGUCUGUCACUCAACUCUCCUACAUUC